GUGGGGAAUCUUGCGCAAUGGGCGAAAGCCUGACGCAGCCAUGCCGCGUGAAUGAUGAAGGUCUUAGGAUUGUAAAAUUCUUUCACCGGGGACGAUAAUGAUGGUACCCGGAGAAGAAGCCCCGGCUAACUUCGUGCCAGCAGCCGCGGUAAUACGAAGGGGGCUAGCGUUGCUCGGAAUUACUGGGCGUAAAGGGCGCGUAGGCGGACAGUUUAGUCAGAUGUGAAAGCCCAGGGCUCAACCUUGGAAUUGCCUUUGAUACUGGCUGUCUUGAGUACGGGAGAGGUGAGUGGAACUCCGAGUGUAGAGGUGAAAUUCGUAGAUAUUCGGAAGAACACCAGUGGCGAAGGCGACUCACUGGCCCGUUACUGACGCUGAGGCGCGAAAGCGUGGGGAGCAAACAGGAUUAGAAACCCUAGUAGUCC
rnacentral:rRNA from 1 species